UACGUAGGGGGCAAGCGUUGUCCGGAUUUAUUGGGCGUAAAGAGCGUGUAGGCGGCCGUACAGGUCAGCUGUGAAACUCGAGGCUCAACCUCGAGACGUCGGUUGAAACCGUACGGCUAGAGUCCGGAAGAGGAGAGUGGAAUUCCCGGUGUAGCGGUGAAAUGCGCAGAUAUCGGGAAGAACACCCGUGGCGAAGGCGGCUCUCUGGGACGGUACUGACGCUGAGACGCGAAAGCGUGGGGAGCGAACAGG
rnacentral:rRNA from 1 species